UACGGAGGGGGCUAGCGUUGUUCGGAAUCACUGGGCGUAAAGCGCACGUAGGCCGACGGUUAAGUCGGGGGUGAAAGCCUGGAGCUCAACUCCAGAACUGCCUCCGAUACUGGUCGUCUUGAGUCCGAGAGAGGUGAGUGGAAUUCCCAGUGUAGAGGUGAAAUUCGUAGAUAUUGGGAAGAACACCAGUGGCGAAGGCGGCUCACUGGCUCGGUACUGACGCUGAGGUGCGAAAGCGUGGGGAGCAAAC
rnacentral:rRNA from 1 species